UGCUAGUGUUCUUAGUGCUUGUUC
rnacentral:sRNA from 1 species